rnacentral:lncRNA from 1 species
CAUAUAUUGGUUGUUGAUCUUUCAUUUCUAUCAUGCGGUAGAUGGCCAGCAAAAUGCACUAUAUGCUAUGGUGCACUCAGAAGCUCCGUGCUCCACUUAAUGAAUGAGCUCACAAAAAUCACUUAGUUACAUAGCCAUAUAGUACAUAUAAUGUAGGAUAUAAUUUUUCUUAUUUUGGAUCUCCUUGCAAAAAUCUAGUAAGAUAGGUUGGAGAGAGAGACUCCACCAUGGAGCAAGG